rnacentral:rRNA from 1 species
CAUAAUCAUUAGUUUUUUAAUUGGAAGCUUGUAUGAAAGAUUGAACAAGAAAAAAACUGUUUCUAUAAUAAGAUUUGAAUUUAACUUUUAAGUUAAAAGGCUUAAAUAAUCUAGAGGGACGAUAAGACCCUAUAAAUCUUUAUAUAAAAAAAAGUUUAAUAAAUAUAGAUUGUAAAGUUAAAAUUUGUAUUAUAUUUAAUUGGGGCGAUAUAAUUAUAAUUAUAGUUAACUAGUUAUUAAUUAUACACAAAUUAUUUGAGUAUUAGAUGAUCCUUAAUAAAGAAUAAUAGAUUAAGUUACUUUAGGGAUAACAGCAUAAUUUCUUUUGAGAGUUCAUAUUGAAGAAGAAGAUUGUGACCUCGAUGUUUAAUUAAAAUUUCUUUAUAGUGCAGCAGCUAUAAGAG